GCAAACAAUAUUAAAUAGCAAUCCAGAGAAUAAAUUCCUGCUAUAGUUUCAUACCAAACUCCAGAAAACCAAAAUAAAGAAUAAUAACUUAUCAGCAAGCAUAAAACCAAAUACCAACCAAAGAACAUUAUUCAAUCCAACACAAAACAAAAUUCAGAACAACAAUAUGAUAAACAAAUAAAGAGAAAAGAGGCAUCAUUAGAGCACAAAAAUGCAUAGAUAUUUUUUUAAGAAAAUAAAACUUAAUAACCAAAAUCGGAGGCAACAAAGGCUGUCAGCGGCGUCGCUUUAACGGUUUCAACCGAAUCAGCAUCGGAGGAAACAAAACAUUUCCUAGAUCUGGCCAUAUAUAGUAAGGCAAUGACGGUUUGUUUCAACAAGAGAAUCACCCACCGGGGACCAAUCCCAGCGAGGCACGGGGAAAGGUGAAGGAAAAGAGAAAAAUGGGGAGCUCCACCGGAGUUGUUGUUGGUUGGUGGCAUGUUUUUCGCCGUUGGAGGUUUAAGGAUGGUUGGUUUUUGGGAUUUUGAGGUUGGUGGAAGACGUAUGGUGGUGGCGUGGCUAGAUCUCGUCGGUCAUAACUCCGACGAGCCAGGAGCGAUAAAGAUCAAGGAGAGACGGCGUGUGUGGCAUUGUUUCAUCAUAUUUCGGCAUUAGAGCAACAUGGGAAAUGGUUUUCUGGUCCUGAGAAAGAGAAAAUGAGGAAAAAGAAAGGGAAAAAUACACCACAUAGCUUUUUAAAAAAGUAAUGGACAAUAAUG
rnacentral:lncRNA from 1 species